rnacentral:snoRNA from 1 species
UGUCAAUGAAGACAGCAAGCGUCCAAGCUUAUUUAUGCUCUAUCCACAGGGUCAAUAAUGAACUCAAUGGAGUUAACAAGAGGAUGAGAAAUUAUACCAUAAGGUGUCUGAAGUGGUAU